AGAACAUUGUGUACUGGAAUAAGGUUCUUGUUUUGUUUUGUUAGGUCUAUCAGGCAGGAAGGCAGCUAUUACCAUUAGGAGUCCAUCAAAAGCCAGAAUGUGGAGGUCUUUCAAGGGGAAGGUAGUUAUUUCAUUUUCCAAAAACGAAACUCUGAUUCUUCAGCUUUGGAAUGCUUAGGUCAUAGCAUUCUGUGGAAUAGGCUGGGACGUUGAUUGCUUAAUUUACCGACUUUUAAAGAAGCCACAUGUUUGCAGCCUCAAGUUUCACCUCCCUCUUGCCAUUCUGAAGUCUCCAAUUCCUAAGCCCUGGAGGAAUCCCACAGGGCGCACCAUCUCCCCCUCCCUUUGAUCCAGAUUCCCCCGGAAAUUGUCCAGAUAAUACCUCAUCCUAAGGAAGAGACAUGAACCCUGGAGUUAUUUUGGUGGAGAAAUACAAGGAAGAAGGUGCACUCUUCAAUAGUUAAGAUACGGAAACACCCU
ensembl:lncRNA